rnacentral:rRNA from 1 species
CACCUGAUCCCAUGCCGAACUCAGCAGUGAAACCGCUCAGCGCCGAUGGUAGUGUGGGAGUUCCCAUGCGAGAGUAGGUCAUCGUCAGGC